AUGGGGCCUAUCAAUCAAGAAGAGAUAACAAUUAUAAAUGUUCAUGCACUGAAUUCAGAAGCACCCAAAUAUAUAAAACUAAUCACAAACAUAAGCUAUCUUAUUGGUAAAAAUGUGGUAGUUGCCAGG